UUAAAGUUUUUUAACUUUAUAUUUUUAUAUAUUUUAUAAUUAUAUAUGAAUUUUUUUUUGAAUAAAAUAAAUUUUUAAAUAAUAUUUAUGUUAAAUUAGAAUAGUAGUAAUUAGUUUUAUAAAUUUAAGAAAUUAAGAUAUAGGUAUAAUAUUAAGUAUAAACAAAUUUUGUGCCAGCAGUUGCGGUUAAACAAAUUAUGCAAUAAAAAUUUAUCGGUUUUUAAUAUAUAAUUUUUAAAAUAAAUAAAUAGAUUUAUUAGGUGAAAUUUUAAAUUUAUAUAAUUAUUUGUUUAAAUAUAUUAUUUAAAAAAAUUUUUUUUAAAACUAGGAUUAGAUACCCUAUUAUAAAAAAGUAAAUUUUUAACUUGAUUAGUAUUUAUUAAAAUUAUGAAAAUUAAGAAAGAUGGCGGUAUUUUAGUCUAUUCAGAGGAACCUGUUCUGUAAUUGAUAAUCCACGAGUAAAAUUACUUAUUUUUUAAGUUUACAUAUCGUUGUAGGUUGAAUAUCUUUUUAGAGGAUAAAUAUUCAAGAUUUAUAGAUAAAAGAAGACAGAUCAAGAUGUAGUUUAUAGAUAAGUAGCAAUGGGUUACAAUAAAUAUAUUUAUGAAUAAAAUUUUUAAAAAGUUUUUGAAAUUGGAUUUGACAGUAAUUUUACUAAAAAUAUUUAAAAUGAUUGAGCUCUAAAAUAUGUACAUAUCGCCCGUCGCUUUCAUUUAAAAUGAAAUAAGUCGUAACAUAGUAGAUGUACUGGAAAGUGUAUCUAGAAUGCA
rnacentral:ncRNA from 1 species